rnacentral:rRNA from 1 species
CAUGCAAGUCGAGCGGUAACAGACAUAAAGAUUCAGCUUGCUGAAUCCGGUGCUGACGAGCGGCGAACGGGUGAGUAACGCGUAGGAAUCUACCCAGUAGCGGGGGAUAGCCCGAGGAAACUCGGAUUAAUACCGCAUACGCCCUGAGGGGGAAAGGGGGCAGUUUACUGCUCUCACUAUUGGAUGAGCCUGCGUAAGAUUAGCUUGUUGGUGGGGUAAUGGCCUACCAAGGCAACGAUCUUUAGCUGGUCUGAGAGGACGAUCAGCCACAUUGGGACUGAGACACGGCCCAGACAUCUACGGAUGGCAGCAGUUAAGAAUAUUGGACAAUGGGGGCAACCCUGAUCCAGGUAUACCGCGUGUGUGAAGAAGGCCCUAGGGUUGUAAAGCACUUUAAUCAGAGAAGAAGCAUUUUAAGUUAAUACCUUAAUAUGUUGACGUUACCUGAAGAAUAAGGACCGGCUAACUCCGUGCCAGCAGCCGCGGUAAUACGGAGGGUCCAAGCGUUAAUCGGAAUUACUGGGCGUAAAGCGCGCGUAGGCGGUUUAGCAAGUUGUAUGUGAAAGCCCUGGGCUCAACCUAGGAACUGCAUCCAAAACUACUAAGCUAGAGUACGAGAGAGGAGAGUAGAAUUUCUGGUGUAGCGGUGAAAUGCGUAGAUAUCAGAAGGAAUACCAAUGGCGAAGGCAGCUCUCUGGCUCGUCACUGACGCUGAGGUGCGAAAGCGUGGGUAGCAAACAGGAUUAGAUACCCUGGUAGUCCACGCCGUAAACGAUGAGAACUAGCCGUUGGGCAGAUUUAACUGUUCAGUGGCACAGCUAACGCAUUAAGUUCUCCGCCU